CUCUAGUGUUCGCUUCUACUCGUAUAAAAUUUUUUUUUAGUUUUCAGAUUUUCAGUCAAAACAAAUCUAUCAAAUUUCAGUGAUAGCCUAAUCACGUCUGUCAUGGUUUACGACAAGUUUCCCAAACUUGAAACUUCAGCUUCGUUUUUCUAACUCUCGCGAGUCACCCACUGAAGUGGUCUAAGAAAUUGGUGCUUCAGCAGUGAAAGAGAAAUAUUGCAAUAUGAAGCCUAAUGAAACUUUAAAAUGUAAAAAAUAACGUUACACAGAGAAAGUAUGAAAGGAACUAACUCCAAAUUCAAAACUGUCAUACUUCACGAAAUUCAAGCAAACAAGCGGUAUGAAAUAGAGGACUGAAACAAACUGAUGGAGCCUGCAAUAAAUGCACAAAUAAAAGAAAAUAAUUUGAUGAAAUUUUGUAAAAUGACCCGCAACACGAAAUGGGGAAAACUUCCUUAAUCAGUGGCGCUGGUAUUGCCGAGCUGAAAUGGCUGGCAAAGAAACUUGGUCCCGGCGAAACAAGAGUCAGCCACGACCAAGCCUAACUUUUUGACAACUUUGCCAACAAACAAGCAAAUAAAUAUUAAAGGAGAAGCGGCGAAAAAAAUAGCAAAGAGGAAACGGAAAAAUGCAAACCGAGAUUCAAAAGAAAACGAAACUGACACUCGAAAAGGAAAAUGCAGUUGGAUGGAAAAAAUACUGACAAGGGUUUGAAAUACUAUUUGGCGAAAGUACAGUUAUACCCGGCAUACUGGUUGAAAGGUAGAUGUAAUUGAAAGUUUGAAAAUUUGAAAGUAAUCAAAAUUAGCUUAAUACACGGUGACUGAACCGAAUGGUCCCGAACUUGAAAUUUCGCCUUAAUGCGCAAGAUUUUCACACCGUAAAGCGGAAACAGGAAGCAAUAUAUAUAUAUUUAUAAUAUUAGCUAUCUAAUCGUACGCACUCAGAAUCGACAAUAUCUCGGUCAAUAUGAUAAAGUAGCUUACAUUUUCAAUUUAGUUAAAGUGGACAUUUUGAGUUUCUUUAGUUGACUUAGGAUAUCGAGGAGUCGAUCAGAUUUUUACUUGAAAUCAAAUACUUUAUAUAAGACUUGGUCUAACUUCGAUAUGCAUACAUAUGUAUGUGUAUUACAUUACAAAGGUAUAACCUUUCCAUAUUUCACAAACUGAUUAUACCUUAACUGCUGCAAAAGUAGGACAUAAAAAGUGCACAUUGAAAUUCUAGUUGUUUUAAAGCUAAAUAUACCGUUAGCGUGAAAUGCAAGUGCGCGGCGUAAGAAGGAAUCCACACGCUUGGGCGCCAAGCGGAGUUACAGAGGCACACUUUCGCACACACACAUUGGAAAGCAUGUGAGGGCACUUGAUGGCAGAGGCGUGCAUUUCUGCGGACGGGCGAAAUUAGCCUCUUGCUCCCGGGCUGUGCAGUGGCGCUGGUGUGGGGCUUGCGGAAAAGGCAAAAUGUGUUGUAAUUAGCUUCAUUUCUUUUGCGGCUUUCGUGGCAGAAUUGCCUUAAAAAUUAUGGGGAAUGCUCAACACUUCUGAAAAAGGAAUUGACUAAGUUUUCAAGAAUAUAUGUUUAAGAAAGAUUAAAUAUUGAAAAUCAUUACGUAUUAAAUAUGGGAAGACGAAUUUUUACCAUUUUCGGCUUUACAAUUAAACUAAAUUACCGCAGUCAGCAACUUCGUUAUAUGAGGUCUAUCAUAAAAUAUGGUCCGAUUUUAGCCAGUUCAAAUACCAAAUUUAUAUAUACUUAGGCUUAUAAAUAUGUCUUAUAUUGUUAUCAAUAAGAAAUAAACGCUGUAUGGUGUUUAGUGGAAAACGUGGAACUCUUUUG